AUGUGCCUGCGUCUGGACUUGUGCAGCUCUCUCUCUCUCUGUAUUCCACGUUUCUGCCACUGUCACGCAUGCCUAUCGUCUUGCAUCUUCUUCUCUCGCUCAACCUGGAGUCCGUCAAAGGUGUCUAUGCAUACAUCCACGACCACCACGCCCCUCCCUCCCUCCUGCCUCGCCUAAGAAAAAAAGUGGUGUGCGCCCUCCGUCCAGAGAAGGAGCCACGCGACAGCAGCUAAGUGUAUGCCAUCGGGCCAAUGACGGAUCCGCACACCUCCACCGGAUUCGCACGUACGCCAAUGCUGCUCAUAAGCUGCGCUCCGCUCGCUGCGGUGCUCCUACUGUUACUCCUGUGUAGCGCAGCUGGGCAAGCACGCAUCGUGGCCGGUGUCCCUGCAUCGUCAGUGGAGCACGGUACUGCCGCGUUGUCUGACCAGUCGAGGCUGCGUUGGAGGCAUGCCAUCGGUAAGGGGUCUAUGCUCGGUCUACCUUCUGUGCGCAUGCAGGUGGCCGGGGAGGUGUUUGGGGCCGCCGCGCCCUCUUCUCGAUCUGACUCGGCAUCGCCGUCGACAUCUAGCACCACCUCCACCACCACAACCACCACAACGACCACCACGACGGAGGCCCCAACGACGACGACCACGACGACAGAGGCCCCAACGACAACGACCACGACGACAGAGGCACCAACGACGACGACCACGACGACAGAGGCCCCAACGACAACGACCACGACGACAGAGGCACCAACGACGACGACCACGACGACAGAGGCCCCAACGACAACGACCACGACAACAGAAGCACCAACGACGACGACCACGACGACAGAGGCCCCAACGACAACGGCCACGACAACAGAAGCACCAACGACUACGGCCGCUCCCUCUCGCUCACCAUCUACCACCUUCUCUGCUGCUGCAUGGGCGGGUGUCAUCAUCGGAAGCAUCGCUUUCGGUAUCCUUCUCGGUGCCAGCGCUGUGCUUCUGGUCUUUGUCCGGACCUGCCCCCUGCUGUGCUGCAGGCGAAGUUCACAAGCUGACCAGGAGGAGGACGACAAUUUGGCGGAGACACGGGAGAUGAAGUCGGAAAACUACGGAACCUCACAGUGGAGUAGCGAGUACGGAAAGCCUGAAAGGCAGGUCAAGAGUUUUUCCAAUCAGUUCCACAAAGACGGCUUGCUCUCUGCACACGAUCAUCGCAACGCCAACCCACUCGCACUUCCCUCUGCCCACAGCCCUAAGCGCGCGCCGCCGCCCGUCGCUGGUGAUCCAGCUCAUGUGAAUAACUUCAACAACCGCCCGUACGUCCAUAACGGCAUCGUGCCGUGGACGGGUCGGCCGCCGGUGCUGCGCGGUCCGCAGCCUGCGUGUAUGAUUCCUACCAUCACCAAGGAGGGCAAGGUCAUCCCACGCGAGCAGCGAGUACUCCCUGGUCUCGGCCUCGUCGAGACCCCGAUCAUUCCGAUCACUCUGCCUGCACAGCCAUCGCUGUCGCCGAAAACAGGGACUGCCGCUGCCUUCACGAGAGCGAAGGAGUUCGUUCGAUCGAAGGUGCUUCGUCGCCUCCGUGGCGCCAAGUCAGCAGAAGAAGAGCAGGCAGCUGCGGUGGCAGCGAUGAAGGACCAGCCGGCCGUUCAGUGGUUUCACCACCUUGUGUACUUCACGGCGCUGGGCAGGUCCCCCGAGAUAUCCAGUCUCGACGAAUCAGACGCCGACGAGAGUGGUAAACAUGACGACAGGGGCACGCGUGCUGCCGGCGUCACCGUUCCCGCCGCUGCUGCUGCUUCAGCUGCUUCUGGUGGAACAGCUGCGAAACUUCCACUACCCGAAACCACUGCCGCUCCUAUGCUAGCGCCUCGCGCUGCCCCCGCCACACCUGGCGUGCCCCCGACAGCUACGCAACGCGCAAACACCCGGCUCCCAGCGCCACAAGGAGUGUACGAUGCGCAGUACUACCCAUCGGCGCACUCACAGAUGACAGGGAGCUCUUCAGCAAUGAUGGUGUGUCCCCCCCUGUACAUUGUCGAUCACCCCGUACAGCCUGCGUACGGCAUGGGCGGCGGCGGCGGCGCGAUGCUGCGUUCUCUGGCGCCUGGCGGACAGGUAGUUUCCCGUGCAACGGCCGGGGGCGGUAGCUCUACAAGCUUUCCGUACCCUUCGCAGCAAGCACCGUCACCGCAGAUGCAACCAUAUCAACAGCAGUUGUCCCUCUUGCCGAAGCAGACGAUCCUCUCGCAAGCCUCGCGGCGCUCCAACCCAUACGCCUAGUGUGAGCAGGCUGCGGUGGAGCAUCAGGCCGCACAGUGGCGUCUUGGAAGCUGGACAUACGUGGAGGGAGAUGAAGCUCGCGUGAACAGCUGCUCUGCCUCUGUCUCGACUGCUCCUGUAACGGUCGCAGUAGCCGCAGCUGAUCAGCGCCACACUGCAUCACUGUCUGACAUCACCGCGACUGCCGCGAUGGCGCAUCCGGCCCCAUUUGCGAGGUUUGAGUGCUAGCGUCGCGGCACCUGUGGAGGAGGAAGGCCGUACAAGCCUUAUCUACGUUUGGACGCGCAGUGAACACUGUGAAUCGAAUGACAAGCCGCAGGAUGCAGAAUAGGCGACGGUGUGGUAUAUUGAUGAGGAAUGCUUGCAGCAGUGAUUCAGUGGCAGUGCUGCCGACUCGUGUAUAUGGCCAGGUGAAUGGAUGUGUGUGCAAGAGUUGUUUUUAGUCGGUCUAUCAAGUUGUGCGUUGUUUACGACGGCGCGCACGAGGGCCUGUUCAACAGCGAUCAAUUAUGUACGCACUGUUUCCGGAGCAGGUUUGUGACGUCUCCUCUAAUCUUGUUUCGGUGCUCGUGUGCCAGGUUCCCGCCCCCGCCUGCCUGCUUGGUGCUGUUGCUCGAAUUCCUUCUCUGCCGACAUGUCUUGUUUUCUAUUCGUUUGGAUGGCGUCGCUCGUGUGUGGCAGUUUAUCCGUCUCGUACUUGUAUACAUAUAUAUAUAUAGAAGCGCGUUCUGCCGUGCGCCGUCGUCGUCGUGUUUUGCGUUCAACGGCGCUGUGUGCCGUACACGUUUUGCCCCCCCCCUUCUUUCCGUUUUUUUGUUGUGCUUCCUCAUCUCCGCCCCUGCCCUCUCCGCCACGACCACCGCGGUACACCCCAUCCUCUUCGCCCUCUGCUCUUUGCCCAUCGUGCUGAUACGGCACCCUCCCUUCCUUUGAGCUCGGCGUUGGAUAUCUUGAUUUCAUCUCUUCUCUACAUUCACUUGUUUGCUUCGUGCCUCCUCGCCUUUUCUUCGGACGCUGUCGCUGGCGCCUUUGUUUUCUCCUUCCCCGCCCCGUCCCGCGUGCAUACUCGUGUCUUUCGGUGGCUCCUCAUGUGCUCCCUCUCUCUUCUCGCUUGCGAUCGGCUCCAUAGAAGCCUGCACCUAUGCUUGUAUGUGCCAACGCCGCCACCAUCCGCUGCAGCACAUAAGGCAUGCGUUCGCGCCCUCUCAAUUUUCAACUGGUCUCUGGCUUGCUGUUGUCGCUCUCUUUUUGGCAUCUUCCUGGGAUCCAUGCCGUGACGCACUGGUAUGCACCGCCACCUCAUCAAGGAGUCUUGGCCGUCUCUCCUCCCCCCACUGUGAGUUUCCUCUGCGCCUGCCACGCAUGCACCCUGUGCGGCAAGCAAAUCCCCCAUGUAAAGUUGGUCAUUGAGCAGCAGUCUAUUCUUGCCUUGUCUUUCCGUUCUAGCUGCUUCUUUUCCCCUCUCUCUCGUCAUCCGCUUUCCUUGCAUCCCCUCCGCAUAUCCUCCCCUCCUGCCCUAUUCCUGGAACCCUUCAUCCACGGCCAUUGCCUCCUUGCGUCUCACACUGUCUCUCCUAAGCGUCUCUCGGCUGCGGUGGCGGAUCUCUUUACGUCCUCUCUUUUUCUCUUUGCGUCGCUCCCUAUGGCUCACUCAGCGCGUGCCUGUGCUUGUGAAUACCCCUACCUGAGCGCGCAUGUGCGCCUCGCUGCCAGCCGACUGCGUGUGGUGCCUCCGCGACCUCCUCGGCCCGUUUUCUUGUGCACGUGAAGGACCCUACUUCUCUUCCUGAGCCAAGUCGGAACGCCGUCUUCACUCCGCUUUUCUUAUUUGCACUCUAUUUUUUAUUUUCUUGCGUUCUUGGGCUCAUCGGACCCCCCCUCCUCAUACACACCACCACCACCAACAGGCACCCCUCAUCGCGUAGCCGUGCUGCCUCCGCCAUCUUGCUCACUGCGCGCACCGACAUUGCCCGCUAGGUUCGGAGGCGCGUACUCAAUCGAUGUUCAUGUGGAUCGCGUGCUUGACGUCCGUUUUUUUUUUCGUUGUUGUUUGCUGUUGCUGUCACUGCUGCUGUGCAUCUCAGGCACGCUUGUGCGGUGGUACGUGUGCCACCCCAUCUGCGAUGCUCUUCUGUGCGGUGCCCUAUGGGUGUGCACCCCGUUGGUAUCGGCGAGGGUCGCAGCUGGUGCCGGCAAAUUUUGUCGUCAUGGAGUUGAAAUAUUCGUGUGAGCCUCGCCCCCUUUUGUUCUGUAGAGCGCAUGGAAGGAC
rnacentral:misc_RNA from 1 species